CUUAGAUAAGGACUGUAGGUCUGGCGAACACAACACAAGAUGUGAAGAAAAUGGCAGCCCUUUUCAGCAUCUGUAGAAACAAAGGUCUAGAGAUAGGAAACAAUCGACAGCAAGUCAAGUGAAUUGGAGAGCUUCGUCGAACGUUGAGGCUUUGAGGAGGCAAUCGUCAAGUGUCUGGAGAUCUAAGGAUCGGAGGGUUGCCCUUGAGUCCUUCAUUGGAUGAAGUACGUCGUUUGUGGUGGAAGCAAAGUUUUUCACUGUCAAAAGGAAGAUCUUCAAUGGUACUCUGGACCUCUCGAGGAAAGAAAGAGGAGGAGAGCCAUGACCCUCGGCGCAUGACCACUGCUGUGGCGGUCGAUCUUGCUGAAGUAUUGGCUACAUCGAGGGCCGCUUGAAGAGCGGUACGUGAUAUGAUUUGUCCCUCGGAAACCAGA